rnacentral:lncRNA from 1 species
CCCAGGCCUCCCUCCUCUGCUUCCAGCCGAGAACAAGGCUUUUGCCAGCAACCUCCCGACCCUGAAUGUGGCCAAGGCCGCUUCCUCCGGGCCAGGGAAGCCCUCCGGGCUGCAGUAUGAGAGCAAACUGAGUGGCCUGAAGAAGCCCCCCACGCUUCAGCCCAGCAAGGAAGCCUGGUGAGUCCACACCCCAUCCUUGCAUGCCUGCCCUGUACCUUCCAGAGACCUGGGGGAGCAUGGGGCCACCCUCCAGAAGCAGAGUUGGGCAGGCCCAAGUGCCAAGCCCAGCUCCACCUCUUGGUAGCGAUGUAGUUCCCUCAUAGACCCUCAGUUUCCCCCUCUGGAAAAUGGGGUGACCAGAGAGUGGUGGAGGGAGGGUGGGCUGUGGCUCCGCCAGGCUGGGGCUCAGGAGGGCGGCAGUUUGGUCCAUCCUGGUUGUUGCUGUGCCCUCCACGUCUCCCACACGGCUGGGCCGCGUCGGUGCUGAGCCCCACUGGGUGGGUGAAGUGAUG